AUUAAACACAACAGAGUGUUAGGGUGGGAAAGGCCUGGGUAAACUUUGAGAAAACAUUUGUGACUACCAGAACAUUCUCUUGUCCUGUGCUAGCCCAAUCCAAGAGAGUAAAGUCAAUGGAGAUUAUCUACAAAGGCUUAGUGGCUAACAUAUUUCCCAAGAAGGUUCUGG